rnacentral:rRNA from 1 species
AUGAUCCGCCAGGACGACAUCGACGACAUGGUCGAGGGGGGAUUGAUUCCCCAUGAAUCGGCGCGACUCCCGGGGAACGAGACCGAGCCGCAGCCACAGGAGGGUGAGCGCGUCCUCCUCGCUACUCACGUCGACCGCGGGUUUUCCUUGCCUACCCACCCUUUCUUUCGAGGUUUCUUGAACUUCUUCGGGGCGCAACUCCACCACCUCACCCCGAACACCAUCGUGUAUCUUGCUGCUUUUGUGUCCAUGUGCGAGAGCUUCCUGGGCUGUAGGCCACACUGGGGGCUCUUCAAGCACAUAUUCACCUGCCGUUCUCAGUCGGUCAAGAAGGCCAACCCGAGUGACGAGAGAACGCAAGUGAUUCAGAUGUGCGGGGGUCUUGGGAUCCAAAUGAGGAGUAAGAGUACUUUCCCAGCCAUGAUCCUUCCCGAAUCGGUUCGAGGGUGGCAGUCGACCUAG